UACGUAGGGGGCAAGCGUUGUCCGGAUUUAUUGGGCGUAAAGAGCGUGUAGGCGGCCAGGUAGGUCUGCUGUGAAAACUCGAGGCUUAACCUCGAGAUGUCGGCGGAAACCAUCUGGCUAGAGUCCGGAAGAGGAGAAUGGAAUUCCCGGUGUAGCGGUGAAAUGCGCAGAUAUCGGGAAGAACACCCGUGGCGAAGGCGGUUCUCUGGACAGUUCCUGACGCUGAGGCACGAAGGCCAGGGGAGCAAACGGG
rnacentral:rRNA from 1 species